rnacentral:rRNA from 1 species
GACGAACGCUGGCGGCGUGCUUAACACAUGCAAGUCGAGCGGUAAGGCUCCUUCGGGAGUACACGAGCGGCGAACGGGUGAGUAACACGUGAGCAAUCUGCCCUUCACUCUGGGAUAACCCUCGGAAACGAGAGCUAAUACCGGAUACGAUCACUUCAGGCAUCUGAUGGUGAUGGAAAGUUCCGGCGGUGAAGGAUGAGCUCGCGGCCUAUCAGCUUGUUGGUGAGGUAAUGGCUAACCAAGGCUUCGACGGGUAGCCGGCCUGAGAGGGUGACCGGCCACACUGGGACUGAGACACGGCCCAGACUCCUACGGGAGGCAGCAGUGGGGAAUAUUGGACAAUGGGCGAAAGCCUGAUCCAGCAACGCCGCGUGAGGGAUGACGGCCUUCGGGUUGUAAACCUCUUUCAGCACAGACGAAGCGCAAGUGACGGUAUGUGCAGAAGAAGGACCGGCCAACUACGUGCCAGCCGCCGCCGUAA